AAUUUUGGACAAUGGGGGAAACCCUGAUCCAGCCAUCCCGCGUGUAUGAUGAAGGCCUNCGGGUUNUNAAGUACUUUUGGCAGAGNAGAAAAGGCAUCCCCUAAUACGGGAUGCUGCUGACGGUAUCUGCAGAAUAAGCACCGGCUAACUACGUGCCAGCAGCCGCGGUACUAAGUAGGGUGCAAGCGUUAAUCGGAAUUACUGGGCGUAAAGAGUGUGAAGGAGGUUCGGAAAGAAAUAUGUGAAAUACCCGGGCUCAACCUUGGAACUACAUCUUUAACUGCCGAGCUAGAGUAUGUCAGAGGGGGUAGAAUUCAACGUGUAGCAGUGAAAUACGUAGAUAUGUAGAGGAAUGACGAUGGCGAAGGAAGCCCCCUGGGAUAAUACUGACGCUCAGACACGAAAGAGUGGGGAGCAAACAGG
rnacentral:rRNA from 1 species